rnacentral:rRNA from 1 species
GAUGAACGCUGGCGGCGUGCCUAAUACAUGCAAGUCGAGCGAACGGACGAGAAUCUUUCUUUUCUGAUGUUAGCGGCGGACGGGUGAGUAACACGUGGGUAACCUACCUAUAAGACUGGGAGAACUUCGGGAAACCGGAGCUAAUACCGGAUAAUAUUUUGAACCGCAUGGUUCAAAAAUGAAAGACGGUCUUGCUGUCACUUAUAGAUGGAUCCGCGCUGCAUUAGCUAGUUGGUAAGGUAACGGCUUACCAAGGCAACGAUGCAUAGCCGACCUGAGAGGGUGAGCGGACACACUGGAACUGCGCCACGGCCCAGACUACUAAGGGACGCAGCAGUAGGGAAUCUUCCGCAAUGCGCGAAAGCCUGACGGAGCAACGCCGAGUGAGUGAUGAAGGUCUUCGGAUCGUAAAACUCUGCUAUUAGGGAAGAACAUAUGUGUAAGUAACUGUGCACAUCUUGACGGUACCUAAUCAGAAAGCUACGGCUAACUACGUG